CCUCGAAUCAGGUGGGACUACCCGCUGGACUUAAGCAUAUCAAUAAGCGGAGGAAAAGAAACUAACAAGGAUUCCCCUAGUAACGGCGAGUGAAGCGGGAUGAGCUCAAAUUUAAAAUCUGAUAGUCUUUGGCUGUCCGAGUUGUAAUCUAGAGAAGUGUUUUCCGCGUUGGACCAUGUACAAGUUUCCUGGAACGGAACGUCAUAGAGGGUGAGAAUCCCGUCCUUGACAUGGACUACCAGUGCUUUGUGAUACACUCUCAACGAGUCGAGUUGUUUGGGAUUGCAGCUCAAAAUGGGAGGUAAAUUCCUUCUAAAGCUAAAUAUUGGCGAGAGACCGAUAGCGAACAAGUACCGUGAGGGAAAGAUGAAAAGCACUUUGGAAAGAGAGUUAAACAGUACGUGAAAUUGUUAAAAGGGAAACGAUUGAAGUCAGUCGCGCUUACUUGGACUCAGCCUUACCUCGGUUUGGUGCAUUUCCUUGUGAACGGGCCAGCGUCAAUGUUGUCCGUUGGAAAAGGGUUAGGGAAAUGCUCUUUCGGGAGGUUUAUGUCUCGGGAGUGUUAUAGUCUCUGAUCGU
rnacentral:rRNA from 1 species